CGCGGGGUAGAGCAGUUGGCAGCUCGUCGGGCUCAUAACCCGGAGGCCGUUGGUUCAAGUCCAACCCCCGCUA
rnacentral:tRNA from 2 species